CAGGACGAACGCUGGCGGCGUGCCUAAUACAUGCAAGUCGAACGGUCUUUCUAUGGAAGCUUGCUUCCACUGAGAAGAUAGUGGCGAACGGGUGAGUAACACGUGGGUAACCUGCCCAUAAGAGGGGGAUAACAUCCGGAAACGGGUGCUAAUACCGCAUAGUUUUCUUGAUCGCAUGAUCGGGAAAGGAAAGACGGCCUUUGUGCUGUCGCUUAUGGAUGGACCCGCGGCGUAUUAGUUAGUUGGUGAGGUAACGGCUCACCAAGACGAUGAUACGUAGCCGACCUGAGAGGGUGAUCGGCCACAUUGGGACUGAGACACGGCCCAAACUCCUACGGGAGGCAGCAGUAGGGAAUCUUCCGCAAUGGACGAAAGUCUGACGGAGCAACGCCGCGUGAGUGAAGAAAGGUUUUCGGAUCGUAAAACUCUGUUGUCAGAGAAGAACAAGUUGGAGAGUAACUGCUCCAGCCUUGACGGUAUCUGACCAGAAAGCCACGGCUAACUACGUGCCAGCCGCAGC
rnacentral:rRNA from 1 species